AUACGGAGGAUCCGAGCGUUAUCCGGAUUUAUUGGGUUUAAAGGGAGCGUAGGUGGACAGUUAAGUCAGUUGUGAAAGUUUGCGGCUCAACCGUAAAAUUGCAGUUGAUACUGGCUGUCUUGAGUACAGUAGAGGUGGGCGGAACUCGUGGUGUAGCGGUGAAAUGCUUAGAUAUCACGAAGAACUCCGAUUGCGAAGGCAGCUCACUGGACUGCAACUGACACUGAUGCUCGAAAGUGUGGGUAUCAAACAGGAUUAGAUACCCUGGUAGUCCACACAGUAAACGAUGAAUACUCGCUGUUUGCGAUAUACAGUAAGCGGCCAAGCGAAAGCAUUAAGUAUUCCACCUGGGGAGUACGCCGGCAACGGUGAAACUCAAAGGAAUUGACGGGG
rnacentral:rRNA from 1 species